UCACCACCAGCUAGGGAGCAAGCAUUCAAAACAUGAGACUGUGGGAGACAUUUCAGAUUCAAACCAUAACACUCACUGCAGAGGGAAGGUUAGAUAAAUGAGACCAUGGACAUUCAGUAUCAGGUGAAGAAGAAAAAACAGCCAGGGUGGGUACCAAGCAGCAAGAGCAUGGCUGGCUUGCUCAAGCAACAGGCAGGAUGUCACUGGAUGCAGUAUGGAAGGGACCUCUGUUCUACUUUUAAGUAUUGCUGCUUUGGAAUGGUGAAUGAAGCCACUGGAAGGCAGCUGCCCACUUCCAUGUGUCCAGUCACUUCCAGACUUCCCGGGAUUUGGGGACAACUUUAAGACAACAUGAAGAUUUUUCUGAGGAUCUAGCAUCUCGUAUCUGUCCCAGCAUUCACAGUAUUACUGAAGUCCCACUGAGGCCUGAGCUCGAAGCUCGACAACAAUGAGGCCACUGCCAGGAAUGACAGCAUACCCUAUAAUAUCAGCACUUGACAGAAUGAGGCAGGAGGAUCUCUGAGAGGUCCAGGUUCAGGUCAACCAGCCAGGGUACUAGAGCCUGUCUUAAAAGAAGAAAGCCAAGCCAGAAAUCAAUGCCUUCGGUAACUGAAGGGAUCGUUCACCAGUGAAGCCCCCAAGAGACCCAGUUCAGAGCACCAUUUCAACUUUUGGGGCUGUCUUCCUUACUCAAAGCCUGGGGCCAUCUUGUUCCAGGAAGCACUGAGGAAGUGUUUGCUAAAAUCUCAGAAGUCCCCGGUCACACCACCCUGAAACUCCAGUUAAAUUAUCUCAUAGAGUUGCCACAUCAGCUUCAUCACCCUGGUUCAUGAGACAGCUCCAUCCAGAGUUACUGGCUCCACCUCAGCACGUCUGACAUGGAAAAGGAACUAAACAGCACGCAUGGUGUUAGUGACCUGUUCUGAUGCUACAAAAUACCCGACAAAGACCACUUCAGGAAGGAGGGGGUUCUUUUGGCUUCUAGUUCUUAGGAGUUUGGGUAGCAGGAAAAGGAGGUGGCUGGUCACAUUGGAUCCAGUCAGAAAGACGAGCAUAUUGUAUGCUUGCACAGUCUUUUUUCCGUCCAGGACCCCCAGCCUAGGGAAUGGUGCCACUCAGAGUUAAUGUGGGUCUUCACAGAUAAACUCAGAGAUU
rnacentral:lncRNA from 1 species